CAGUAGCCACGGUAAUACGAAGGGGGCUAGCGUUGUUCGGAAUUACUGGGCGUAAGGCGCACGUAGGCGGAUAUUUAAGUCAGGGGUGAAAUCCCGCAGCUCAACUGCGGAACUGCCUUUGAUACUGGGUAUCUUGAGUAUGGAAGAGGUUAGUGGAAUUGCGAGUGUAGAGGUGAAAUUCGUAGAUAUUCGCAGGAACACCAGUGGCGAAGGCGGCUAACUGGUCCAUAACUGACGCUGAGGUGCGAAAGCGUGGGGAGCAAACAGGAUUAGAUACCCGCGUAGUCCCUGUCUCUUAUAC
rnacentral:rRNA from 1 species